UGGGGAAUAUUGGACAAUGGGGGCAACCCUGAUCCAGCAAUUCUGUGUGCACGAAGAAGGUUUUCGGAUUGUAAAGUGCUUUCAGCAGGGAAGAAAAAAAUGACAGUACCUGCAGAAGAAGCGACGGCUAAAUACGUGCCAGCAGCCGCGGUAAUACGUAGGGGGCAAGCGUUAUCCGGAUUUACUGGGUGUAAAGGGAGCGUAGACGGAAUGGCAAGUCUGAAGUGAAAUACCCGGGCUCAACCUGGGAACUGCUUUGAAAACUGUUGUUCUAGAGUGUUGGAGAGGUAAGUGGAAUUCCUGGUGUAGCGGUGAAAUGCGUAGAUAUCAGGAAGAACACCGGAGGCGAAGGCGGCUUACUGGACAAUAACUGACGUUGAGGCUCGAAAGCGUGGGGAUCAAACAGGAUUAGAUACCCUGGUAGUCCACGCUGUAAACGAUGAAUACUAGGUGUCGGGGUGCAAAGCAUCUCGGUGCCGUCGCUAACGCAAUAAGUAUUCCACCUGGGGAGUACGUUCGCAAGAAUG
rnacentral:rRNA from 1 species